rnacentral:rRNA from 2 species
AUACCGGCAGCACGAGUGAUGGCCGCUAUUAUUGGGCCUAAAGCGUUCGUAGCCGGCCACUCAAGUUCGUCGGGAAAUCUGCCCGCUUAACGGGCAGGCGUCCGGCGAAAACUGAGUGGCUUGGGGCCGAGAGAUCCAAGGGGUACGUCCGGGGUAGGAGUGAAAUCCUGUAAUCCUGGACGGACCACCGAUGGCGAAAGCACCUUGGAAAAACGGACCCGACGGUGAGGAACGAAAGCUAGGGUCUCGAACCGGAUUAGAUACCCGGGUAGUCCUAGCCGUAAACGAUGCUCGCUAGGUGUGGCGCAGGCUACGAGCCUGCGCUGUGCCGUAGGGAAGCCGAGAAGCGAGCCGCCUGGGAAGUACGUCCGCAAGGAUGAA